CAGAUAAAAGUACAGCUUAAGCUAAGUUCUUUACAAACCACAGACGAGAGACUGAGGCCUUGACCAAUGUGAACCUUACCGAAACGAUGCUAGAGUAAGAACUGAGCACGUGUAAAGAUGGGGACCUGGUCGCUUCCAUGUUUAAAUGAUUAGAAGGCCCGAGAGCACAGAGGAAGGAACGGGGAGAGAGGCCAGUGCACUCCUGGCCACAGGGCCCCCUCCUCCAGCCUCCACCAGGGGAUCACAGGCAUCCAACUCGAAGAAAAGCCUUUUUGAGGCACAUCCCCCCUUCCGGGCUUGGUCACCCUGUGGUGAGGUGGAGGGGCCCAGACACAUUUGCACAUCUGGUUCUGAUGAGGGAAAACCCACCCAAGGCAGAGUGGCUUCAGUUUCCCAGAACAGCUGUUGCCCUCUCCUUCUUCUGGAAAAGUCCUUCUCCUCCUCCCAUAAGGAAGGAUCCCAGGCCUGUUCUCUGUAGGAAAUGUGCUCUCAAUAAUGUUCACCAUCAAAUGAAAACACAACUAUCCCCUUGUUCAAGAGAAUGAGAACCACUCACAGUAAUGUCGAGAUUCUGUUAAAACAGAGUAUUUCCUUCCCUACUUUUCCAGAGCAAACUACCAUUUUGGAACCCUUCGCAUGCUGUCUGAGAAUGACAGAAUGUGUCACUGACAGCAAGGGCUUGGCGACAAGUUCGUGGCGGGACUUCUACAGAAUGAACUGGACUUUCUGUACCUGCGUUCCCUCACCUGUAAAACUAGGGACAGGGCUCGGAUGGAAUAUUCUGGAAUUUCAGAAUAACGCAGCACAAGCCUCCGGCUGUAAAGUCCAUUCUCAAAGCAUUUAGCUUUGAGGCUGUCAGAGAAUGAGCUCGAAUUCAAGGUGCUGCAGAACUGAAAGGAACCAAGAGCUCUAUUGGUCCAAAUCCCUGCAUGUCAGGUGUGAUGGUCGUGCUUAUGUGUCCGCUUGGCUAGGCUAUUGUACCCAGUAAUUUAAUCAAACUUGAAUCUAGGUGUUGCUCUGAAGGUAUUUUUGUAGAUGGGGUUCACAGUUAUAAUCAUUUUUUAGUAAGUGAGGAAGAUUGCCCUCAAUAAUGUGGGUGGGCCUCAUCUUACAGUUGCAGGUCUUGAAAGGCAAAAUCAGAUUUUUGAAAGAAGAAAUUCUGCUUCAAGACUGUAACAUAGGGGGCACCUGGGUGGUUCAGUUGGUUGAGCGUCCAACUUCGGCUCAGGUCAUGAUCUCGUGGUUUGUGGGUUCAAGCCCCAUGACGGGCUCUGAGCUAGCUUGGAGCCUGGAGCCUGCUUCCGAUUCUUUGUCUCCCUCUCUCUCUGCCUCUCCCCUGCUCAUGCUCUGUCUCUCUCUCUCUCUUUCAAAAAUACAUUUAAAAAAUUAUAUAUUUUUUAAAAAUACUGUUAACAUAGAAACCCUGCCUGAGUUUCCAGCCUAGUGGCCUCCUCUGCAGAUUUUGAACUUACCAGUUCCUAUAAUUGCAUAAGCCAAUUUCUUAAAUCUCUUUUCAUAAGGUAGGUGGUCCUAGAUUGUUAUUGCUAAGAAACUGACAAGCCCAGGGCCCAGCUCUCCUUGGGCUCUACCUCUUUCCUGUUCUUCCUACCAGGACAUACCUCUCAUCCAGUUACUGCCCUACAACCUAAAACCUUACUUUAAACUGAACUUCCCUUCCCGAAAGAAUUUAGAUCCUUCUAGCAGAGCAGCAUUUUUCUCUGCGAGGCGUGGACACAAAUACUUCUUAUACCGCCCCCCAAUACAUACAUAUGCAUGCAAACAUGUUUAGCAUGUAAUGAAACAAAAAUUUCCUGAAAUGAUAUUUCUCAGAUGCAAUACAUUCGAUCACUUCUAUUUUAUUGUACUUCACUUUUGAAAAAUGUUAGUCCUAUGCUCUAGGUUGCUUGUUUGAGCCAAAAUUGCCCACGAUGGCCGAUGUGUCUGGUGCCUGUAACACAUCUCCCUCAGUCACAGCUGUGCUGGAAAGUUCUGUGUGAGCUCAGGCUCACUUCACUCACGGCAUCUCACUCCAGGCAUGGGGUGCACAGACCCCGGGCCCCUGUGGCGGUCCCUUUGGCUCCUAACCAAGUACAGCCUGGAAGUGUGGGGCAGCCCUCAGUCGGUGGGGAGAAGAGCUGGUCGGUGGGUGGCCCAGCCCCCACCUUCAAACAGAGCACCUGCAGAAGCAUUCUGUAUGCUUCUCAAGAGGACCACAGCAGCGACCUUGACAAUGCUCCUUAUGUUAGCUCCCCUUUCCCUGCCUCCCCUGUCCUGUUGCAAACUAUGGGCUCCUGGCAUCGCCUCCCAGAUCAAUCACUUGCCCCGACUCUAGGCUUCAAGGCUUUACUUUCAAGAAAAUUCAAACUCAGACCCAUCCUUCUCCUCACUGUAGGAACCCUCUACGACUCCCUUCGGACGGUCACCGUGUAUUUGCUGGUAUCUCCAGGGAUGACAAGCGUUCUUAUUUCCUCAGCUCAGUCUUCUCAUUGCCGGACAAGUCAGGGGGACGGAAGUGAGACAGAGGGCAUCCAGGACUUCCCACGGGUCGAGCGCCGUGCUACUGUAUUCUUUCACUCUCUUUGUUAAAAGGCUUUCUCUCUAACAUCUUCGCUGGAUCAUUUUAUAAGGAUCAAAUUCAUCUCGAAACCACUGCCGUUACUUUAAUGACACCUUUCUGGAGACCCCAGCAGAGCACAGACCUUGCGUAUAAGGAAGUAGCCGAGCUGAGACUGAUGGUUCCAAACAGCACAGUGAACCAGCUGGGGAACGAGUGGGGGAUCCAAGCGCUUCCCCACCCGAACCUAGGAACUCAGGACGCCACUUCCGGGAGGCCUCACCUGGAUGCCCACUUCCCCUGGCUCAGGAGUUGGAGGCACUUCGACAGGAACUCUAGGGGCCUCUGGACUACAGGUAUGCUUAGAAAACACCUCUCUUUUAAAAAGCAAGCUCACGGGGCACCUGGGUGGCUCAGUCGGUGGAGCAUCUGACUUGGGCUCAGGCCACGAUCUCACGGUUCCUGAGUUCGCGCCUGGACUCGGGCUCUGUGCUGACAGCUUGGAGCCUACUUCCAAUUCUGUCUCCCUCUCUCUCUCUCUCUCUCUUUCUCUCUGCCCCUUCCCUGCGCAUGCUCUCU